AUGGUACUGUAUAUGAUUUCCUUCUUCCAAUUGCCGAAAGGAGUUUUACAUAGAUUGGAUUACUUCCGAUCAAGAUUCUUUUGGCAAGGAGAUAGCGAGAGAAAGAAAUAUCGGCUGGCUAAAUGGAGUGUGGUUUGCCGUCCCAAGGACCAAGGCGGGUUGGGAAUUCAUGACCUUGAGGUUAAGAAUAGAGCCCUCCUUGGCAAAUGGUUAUUUAAGUUGUUGACCGAAGAUGGUGUAUGGCAAACCCUCCUUAGGAGAAAAUAUGUGGGUUCAAAGGCGAUAUCCCAGGUAUACUGGAAGCCUGGGGACUCUCAUUUUUGGGCGGGAUUAAUGGCAACGAAGAAAUAUUUCUUCCGCUAUGGGUCCUUCUCAAUUAAGAAUGGCUCGGAAAUUAGAUUCUGGGAGGAUAAGUGGUUAGGUAAUGCUACUCUCCGGGAACAAUAUCCAGCUCUAUACAAUAUUGUACGUCACAAGGGUGAUACUAUUGCCAAGGUUUUGGAAUCAUUUCCGCCCAAUGUGACGUUCAGAAGGGAUUUAAUUGGACCUAGACUUCAAUCGUGGAACAUAUUACUUCAACGAUUAUCCACGGUACAGUUGUCACAGGGGUCCGAUUUAUUUCGUUGGAACCUACAUGAGAAUGGGCAAUUCUCAGUGGAAUCUAUGUAUAGAGCUUUGAUCCAGUCUGACGUGCCAGUUGAUAUUAAUAAGAAGAUCUGGAAGAUGAAGAUACCUCUUAAGAAUAAAAUAUUUGCAUGGUAUCUUCGUCGCGGAGUCAUUCUUACUAAAGAUAACCUUAUUAAGAGAAAUUGGCAUGGAAGUACGCAAUGUGUAUUUUGUCCGCAUGAUGAGACAAUAAAACAUUUGUUCUUCCAAUGUAAAUUGGCUCGUUCUAUAUGGUCAGUCAUCCAAAUAGCUUCUGGCUUGUACCCUCCUUGUAGUGUUGCUAAUAUAUUUGGCAAUUGGUUACAUGGGAUUGAUCACAAGUUCAGAAGUCUACUUAGGGUGGGAGCGCUUGCCGUGAUUUGGUCGCUUUGGCUAUGUAGAAAUGAUAAGAUUUUUAACGAUAAAAGUACUUCGCUUAUGCAGGUUAUCUACAGAUGUACUGGGACGCUUCGUUUAUGGUCCUCUCUACAACGAGUGGAGAAUCGAGACCUGUUUACGGAGGUGUGUACACGAUUGGAGGUUACGGCGAGGGAUACUUUUAUCCAACAUGGGUGGCAGCAUGAUCUUAGGAUUGGGCCACCGACGGUUUAG
rnacentral:rRNA from 1 species